UACGUAGGGGGCAAGCGUUGUCCGGAAUCAUUGGGCGUAAAGAGCGUGUAGGCGGUCCGGUAAGUCGGCUGUGAAAGCCCCGGGCUCAACCUGGGAAUGGCAAUGGAAACUGGCGGGCUAGAGUGUGGCAGAGGGGGGUGGAAUUCCGCGUGUAGCAGUGAAAUGCGUAGAGAUGCGGAGGAACACCGAUGGCGAAGGCAGCCCCCUGGGCUAGCACUGACGCUCAGGCACGAAAGCGUGGGGAGCAAACAGG
rnacentral:rRNA from 1 species